rnacentral:rRNA from 2 species
GGGCAACCUGCCUGUAAGACUGGGAUAACUUCGGGAAACCGGAGCUAAUACCGGAUAAUCCUUUUCUACUCAUGUAGAAAAGCUGAAAGACGGUUUACGCUGUCACUUACAGAUGGGCCCGCGGCGCAUUAGCUAGUUGGUGAGGUAACGGCUCACCAAGGCGACGAUGCGUAGCCGACCUGAGAGGGUGAUCGGCCACACUGGGACUGAGACACGGCCCAGACUCCUACGGGAGGCAGCAGUAGGGAAUCUUCCGCAAUGGACGAAAGUCUACGGAGCAACGCCGCGUGAGUGAUGAAGGUUUUCGGAUCGUAAAACUCUGUUGUUAGGGAAGAACAAGUACGAGAGUAACUGCUCGUACCUUGACGGUACCUAACCAGAAAGCCACGGCUAACUACGUGCCAGCAGCCGCGGUAAUACGUAGGUGGCAAGCGUUGUCCGGAAUUAUUGGGCGUAAAGCGCGCGCAGGCGGUCCUUUAAGUCUGAUGUGAAAGCCCACGGCUCAACCGUGGAGGGUCAUUGGAAACUGGGGGACUUGAGUGCAGAAGAGAAGAGUGGAAUUCCACGUGUAGCGGUGAAAUGCGUAGAGAUGUGGAGGAACACCAGUGGCGAAGGCGACUACUUAUGGUCUGUAACUGACGCUGAGGCGCGAAAGCGUGGGGAGCAAACAGGAUUA